ensembl:snoRNA
UGGGAAGUGAUGAUACUCGAAUGUGACUGCUGACAUGGCUCUGAUUUCUCUUGUAUUCGUACUGGCUGAUCCCG